UGUCCAGUAGCAUUUUAGAGACCAACAAAGUUUGUUCUUGGUAUAAGCCUUCAUGGAAGAAGUGUGCAUGUGCAUGAAAGCUUAUACCAAGAACAAACUUAGUUGGUCUCUAAGGUGCUGCUGGACU